rnacentral:lncRNA from 1 species
CAUGAACCAGGGAGGCGGAGCUUACAGUGAGCCGAGAUCGCGCCACUGCAUUCCAGCCUGGGCAACAGAGCAAGACUCUGUCUCAAAAAAAAAAAAACAAGUAAAACACAAUUUCAGAAUGAAGAGGAGGUCUUAGAUUGGGACAAGGCAGUAUCAAACUUACUUUAUUACUUUAUAUCAAUAAAUGAGAUGAAUAACAAUAUUUAUAGAGAGAUUUUACAGUUUUUGUAUAUGUUGUGACAAAUAUUGGUGUAUUAAGUUAAAAGGCUACAAGUCAACAUGCAACUGGGAUAAGCACAUCUUUUAUAAACAAACAAAUUUUCUGGAUAAGUAAGGGUGACCCCUUUAAUUAUCAACACACUUUUAACUAUGAUGAAAAAAUUUUUUAAAAGUAUUAUACAACUUUUCUACCUUUCUAAUAGGAUUUAAUGAAACAGAAUGUAAACUUUUCUUUAUGAAAAGAAUCAUUUUCAUAAACAUCAAUUAUUAUACUAUGUUAAAAGGGUAUUAAGCGGUACGAAGCUAUUUGCUACAAGCUAUUCAACUUCUAUUUCACCUUAAUGCCUUAAAUUUUCCAUUAAGCCUGAAACUCUUACAUGCCCUACAAGUCCUUUAAGAUAGAGUGCCUGCCUACAUCUCCAGCCUCCUCCCAAACAUCUCUUCUUGCCACUGUCCUCUGGACAGUUUCUCUAAGCUCUUUCACAACCCAGCUACUUCCUAUGCUGCUCCUCUACCAAAAUCCUCUUCCUUGCAGAGCUUACCUGGCAACUUCUGCUCUUCCUUCAUGUCUCACCUCAAUAUUACUUCCUCAGUAAAUCAUUCCUGACACAAGAGCCCAGCACAAUGCAUGUAGUGGACUUUCAGUAAGUGUUUAUUGAAUUAAUGAAUAAAAUAUCAAAAAUAGUAAAUUUCACAAACAUUCUGGAAUAAACAUACAAUAAGAAAUUUUUUGGUGUUUAAAUUUUGACAUUUAAAUAUAAAUAUAUCUAGAAAACUAACAUGUAUACCUAUGGACUUGAUUUAAUGGAAAAAAUAUACAGUAAUUAGAAAAUGUGGCUAGGGAUCAAUUAAACAGUGGAUAUGCAGAUAUCCCAUGCCCUUUUCUUUUGCUGUCAACAUGACAAGCUCUGCAGAAAUGACCUGGAGAAAGAGAAACAAAGAACAAUGUCUACUUCUUACUCAGGUGCUUUAAUGGAGCCUGGGGAUGAUCGAUGGAUGUCAGAGAUUCAUGCUAUCCUCCACUUGUCAUUUCUAUGAAAUUAAAAAAAAAUUCUUAUUCCAACAUGAAGGGAAGAUGAUUAAUAUUAUAAGACUAUAAUAUCUAGAUAUAUAGAAUAAUGCUAAACAUAUGGCCAAGUUUGGGGGUUUAAUGGUAUAAUAUAUUAAGAGUUAAGAAAUCAUAGGCAUGGAGGUCAUGAGACCUAAGUUCUAGUCUCAUGGAAUUCUAUGAUCUGUGUUCACUUCCUCAAAAAAUCAUUUUUAAUGCACUUAUUUGUGUGAGGCAUAAGGAUAAGAACUGUAUAUUUGUCUGUGUAUAGGAAGUGAGGCCAGAUCCUAUGGAAGAAAUCAUAUUUAUGUAUAAAUAUGAAACCAUCUUUUCCCUUAAGUAGUUAAUAACCACUAUGGAAAAUUUGAAGCUAUAACAGAAAUAGCAGGCACAUAGACAAAAGCUAGAUUGUGUGGUUCAGCAACCAAGUGUAGUAGGAGUUCAAAGAAGGGAAAAAUGAGUGUGGGCUGGGGUUUCUUAGGAAACUCUUGUGGGGGAAACGGAGCUCAAAAAUACGUUUAACAUUGUUGUAAAGGAUUGAAGAUCUCAUAUAACGUUUCACUAAAACACAAAUCCCCUCUUCCCAGGAGCAUAAAGUCUUUUUCCAAUUUUGCAGCUUCUGGAAACAUACAAGUAUUCCUGAAAGACGAAGGCACUUGUCUAGCCAGCCAGUUUAGUGGAAUCAAGCCUGGGUAUGAAUGAGCUCCAGCUGUCAUAACGCCUCUUCACGUGCAUCCGUCAUGGAGCAAGAACAGCCCUUCCUCCUGCUUCUCCUCUUCAGCCUACUCAACAAGAAGACAACAAGGACGAUGGCCUUACGAUGUUCCACUUCCACCUAAUUAAUAGAAGGCAGUCUCUCCACAACACAGACAAAGGUCAUCUCUCUGAUUCCACCAUCCCCAAACCAUUUUCUACAAACACAGAGAACUAAUUACUGAGCUGAAGAAAAAUCAUCUGGUGAAAACUGGCAACAGUGAUGAUAUGCUAUGGGAGGAACUGCACAGUCAGCUCCACAGACUUCUCUGAUAGAGAGAACUCAAUACUAAUUAGUACAGGAAGGAGUAAAGGCUGAUAUGGUACAGCAGCACUUUGGCCUGAAAAGCCAAGGGGAUUUCUAAAAAUAUACAAGAAAACUGCACUAUGAAGUCCUCAUUUCCUACCGCCUCUCCCUCCCUGGCCUUGGAUACUUCUCCCAGAGCCAGCCUAGCAUCUCAGGUUGGAUUUCCCUGAAAACAGGAAAACCAUGGCAAGGACUCAGAAAAUCCCAUCCCUGAGGAAGGGGCACUAGAGCUAAGAGCAGUUGCCUAGAACAGUGGGGGUAAAUGAUAAAGACAAAGGAAGAGGAAAACACAAUCUUAAACUUAAGUGAAACUGCCUUUGCAAAAAUUAUAACUAUGAGAAAAUUAUGACAGUGAAAGAGAUCUGAUCUAACCAAAUCCUGUCUUGCCUUUAACCUCCAAACUGCCCUUAGUUAUUUCUGGGCUUGGGCCACGUUAACUUUGGGAGAAAUUUAGUUUAAAUGACAAUGGCUCUUCCCCAAAACUUAACUGUCUUUGGAAAGCUAAUGAAAGACCAUCUGGUUAAGAGGAUGAGAAGAGCCUGAACCCUGCUAAGGUGUAGACAGAAAUGACUACCAGUGUAUAUUCUGUAGGUCACAAGAUUUGUAAUUUCCCCAAUUACUCCUGCAGUUAACAUCACUAUUGUAGAACAUAAGAUUGGCCUUUUGAGAUGUCUUUUCAUGUUUUUGCAUUUCUGCUGACAAAUGGCUCCACUCAGACCCACCAACAACUGUUCUGUGGCCCCAUCCAGAAGCAUGACUCAGCUCAUAAGAGGACCACUCUCCACACCCCUAUAUUGUAUCUCCAACCAAUAAGCAGCACCCAUUCUCUUGUCCACCAAAAUAUCCUUGAAAAACUCUAGCCUCCAAAUGUUUAGAAAGGCUGAUUUGAGUAAUAAUAAAACUCCAGUCUCCUGUUCAGCUGGCUCUGCGUGAAUUAAACUCUCUCUAUUGCAAUUCCCCUGUCUUGGUAAAUCAGCUCUAUCUGGACAGCAAGCAAAAUGAAUCCAUUGGGUGGCUGCAGAAGCUUGAAUUGCUAAAUGUGGAAGAUACCUAUCUCAGGGUGGAGGUGAUUGGAGGCUUCAUGACUAUCUAGCUGCACCAGAGGUGGGGACCCAUGGGCCCUCUCCUUAAGCCACUACAGUGAUAUAUAAGAGGGGUAAUUAUUUCUGUCUCAUCCUGGUUAAGUCACACAAAUGUGGCUGCAUCCAUCUGGGAAAGGGAAAGCCUCUUUUGAGCUGAGCAUGUUGGACGCUUUGGGAAUUCUCUGGUGUAACUUAAGUACCAGAAACUGUUUUAUUUUCAUAAGAAAAUUAUAUAUAAGAGAGUUUUCUAAGACUUUUCUUUCAUUUGUGGAGAAUAGGGUUUCUAUUCUAUAAAAAUAGUGGGGAUUCUGGGUGGGGUACUGCCUGAGAGAGGUUGGCACAGCUGACAUUCAACAGCCAGCCCCACUACACUGUAAACUUCCCCAUUCCACACCCCAUGCUUCAUCGAUUUGCCUUCCUUAGAAAAGUCCACCAAUGGGGUUGUGGGGGAAAGGAAGUGCUAUGGGGCUCCUUGUGAUGUUCUAGCUGCCUCCUGGUCCUCACUAUUUGCAUAUGGCGCUAGUCUACCUGGAGUCUGUAUGUUUUUCUUAUAACAGUACCCUUUUCUCAUUCUUAAAAAAACCAAGAACAAUUCUAUCCCCUCUGAUUUUUAUGAGAUAUCUACAGCCUGCUCAGCAGAGACUCCCUUUGCUAAAAAAAAUGGUCUAACUGAUCCCCUCCAGGAUUUCUGAACAAUCUCCCAUGAGCCUCUGAAUAUGCCACCAAAUUAGAGGAACAGACUUGACAAUUAUGACUAAUCCCUUUCCAUAAGGUUAUGGCUUUUAGGUGUGUAGCUGAUUGUUUGUGUGAAGCAUUUCCCUUCAAAAAAGAGAAUCCUUAGGAAGUAUUAGACAGGCUCAUUUACUCCGUGUCCUGCAAAAUAAAAUCUCAGCAGAAAAGCAUAAGUAAGCUAAAAUUAGAAUGUGAGGAUUCCCCUACACAAUUGUCUUCUGUUGAGAUGCUGUGCAGGUAAAAAUUGCUUAGAUAUUUUCCUACACAUCUUGGAGAUACAGAAAGCAAAGUGGAGUAUACUUGACUGUGAACUCUUUGAGGUUAGAUGCUCUAAUUUCUUUUUAUUUCUACUGUCAGAUACAGGGCCUGACAUAUAAACGACAAUUAAUAAGUGUAAGUUAGAGUCUGAGUCUGUUCACAAGAAAGAUAAAAGAGUAAGUAUGAAAUACUAUACAUUAGAAAUACUGUAAGUUAAAAACUGAAUCAGUUUCAGAAUAGAAGUGUUGUUUUAUAUGGUAUCAUAUAUAAGACCAACUUUUAAAAGAGCUGUAGCAGGCCUAGAUAACAAGGGAGUAUAGAUUAAAAGUCCAGCCUAUCUAAUCAGAAGGGCUUAAUUAUAGAAAAGUCUCAGAAUUCUGAGUGGCUUAUUUCAUGUCAAAGCAAUGAUCAUGAAAAUAAAAGGACUUGUGAAGUCAGUAAAUGACCAACAAACUUACACUUGAGAGGAGAACAAUCAAGAUGUAAUGAAAAAUCUAAGACAUCUGGACAUUUGAAGACAGUAACAUCAAAAAGGGUCUCCAAGAAAGAGCGUUUUUGAAGAAAAUAGCACAUCAAGCUGAAGGCCAAGCAUUCUCAUGACUAACUACAACAGUAUAAGAAGGAUUAAUGUGGCAUGUGUGAGUAUAAAUGUAGAGUUGUGAUAUUAAAAAUGUUUUGAAUCACCAAA